rnacentral:rRNA from 1 species
UGGGGAAUAUUGGACAAUGGGCGCAAGCCUGAUCCAGCAAUACCGCGUGUGUGAAGAAGGCCYUAGGGUUGUAAAGCACUUUCAAUGGGGAGGAAAACCUGCCGGUCAAUACCCGGUAGCUUGACAUUACCUUUAGAAGAAGCACCGGCUAACUCCGUG